CGGAAUCUACCUUUUCGUGGGGGAUAACGUAGGGAAACUUACGCUAAUACCGCAUACGACCUUCGGGUGAAAGCAGGGGACCUUCGGGCCUUGCGCGGAUAGAUGAGCCGAUGUCGGAUUAGCUAGUUGGCGGGGUAAAGGCCCACCAAGGCGACGAUCCGUAGCUGGUCUGAGAGGAUGAUCAGCCACACUGGAACUGAGACACGGUCCAGACUCCUACGGGAGGCAGCAGUGGGGAAUAUUGGACAAUGGGCGCAAGCCUGAUCCAGCCAUACCGCGUGGGUGAAGAAGGCCUUCGGGUUGUAAAGCCCUUUUGUUGGGAAAGAAAAGCAAUCGAUUGAUACUCGGUUGUUCUGACGGUACCCAAAGAAUAAGCACCGGCUAACUUCGUGCCAGCAGCCGCGGUAAUACGAAGGGUGCAAGCGUUACUCGGAAUUACUGGGCGUAAAGCGUGCGUAGGUGGUUGUUUAAGUCUGUUGUGAAAGCCCUGGGCUCAACCUGGGAAUUGCAGUGGAUACUGGGCAACUAGAGUGUGGUAGAGGGUAGUGGAAUUCCCGGU
rnacentral:rRNA from 1 species